ensembl:rRNA 5S_rRNA 5S ribosomal RNA
GUCUGCGGCCAUACCACCCUGAACGCAACUGUCUUGUCUGAUCUCAGAAGCUAAGCAGGGUCAGGCCUGGUUAGUACUUGAAUGGGAGACCACCUGGGAAUACCAGGUACUGUAGGCU